rnacentral:lncRNA from 1 species
UUUUCUGUGCUUUUGUCUAAAAUUGGAAAUCUAAUAUGAAAAUCAUGAUUCUUUGUUGCAUUUGUUUGCAUGAUUGUUGUGGUCCAAGUCUUGUAUAAUAAUAUUACAUUGCUUUACAUGAUUAUUGCGGUUAUACCUUUAAGUGGGAGUGAGAAACUACGCCUUCAUGAGGUUUUCACCUCCGCAUGGGCUAGUGGAUUACUUCUGGGAUACAUCUGUACCUAUGUCUUUGUGAGAUAUUCAUCUCUGCAUGGCCAAAGGGAAAUGUAUUCCCUUGAAUUGAACUCGAUCCAUAUGAGCCUAUAAUGGGUGAGGAUUGAGGAAUCUGCUGGUUUAAGUACCCUUUCUCUAGAACCAGGUGACAUAUAGUGAACCUUGAGAAUCCACCUUAGUUAGAACCUUGCCCAAAUUUAGUGGUCACCCGAAUAGGUACUUUAUUUGUUAUUUAUUUCUUCUGUACUAACGUGUUUUGCUUUUGUUUUGUUUAUAACUGUAUUGCAUUACAUCAUCAUAGAAAGGAGGUGUUGAUUCAUAUUUGAAUGCUAAAUAGAACAGUUUGUCAUAAGAAAAAAAAUUUCUUCAUAAAGUGGAUUAUAAUAUGGUUGUCUGAAUAUGGUCUAAGUAAACACAACGGAAAAAGGCUGAUGGUUCGCAGAGGAAAACAAGACUUUACCUGAGGAUUCAAGCCGAUAAAGAUUAUUCGAGAGCUGUCGCGUCCUGACUUUCUUAAAAGAGCUAAUCAACAUUGUGAGGAUAAUAAGUAGUGGCCUGGAUAAGCAAAAAGGAGCUAGUGGAGGCAUUUAUUGGAAGCUUGCGAGAUUUGAAUUUCACGAAGAAAAGGGAUCAGUAUCUUUGCUUGGAAUAUGAAAGUAAGGCAGUAUAUGUAAUCUUUUUUAUGUAAAGGAAUUUGUUUUCUAGAAAAGUUGUUCUAAUGGAAUUGAAUUCAAAAUCAACGCUUUGCAUUCAUCCCAUGCAUUUGCAUUGCAUUGCAUCAUUGCAUCAUUGGCAUUAGAUUUUCAUAAAAGGGUCCCUAAUUAGUUACAAAUACAGAUGCAAGAGUAACUGGCGAAGAUUCGGC